rnacentral:rRNA from 1 species
UACGUAGGGUGCAAGCGUUAAUCGGAAUUACUGGGCGUAAAGCGUGCGCAGGCGGCUUUGCAAGACAGAUGUGAAAUCCCCGGGCUUAACCUGGGAACUGCAUUUGUGACUGCAUGGCUGGAGUGCGGCAGAGGGGGAUGGAAUUCCGCGUGUAGCAGUGAAAUGCGUAGAUAUGCGGAGGAACACCGGUGGCGAAGGCGGCGUCCUGGACCAACACUGACACUGAAAAGCGAAAGCCAGGGGAGCAAACGGG